rnacentral:misc_RNA from 1 species
UCCGGUUUGUCACCGGCAGUCCCAUUAGAGUGCCCAACUGAAUGUAGCAACAUGAGACGGGGGUUGCGCUCGUUGCGGGACUUAACCCAACACCUCACGGCACGAGCUGACGACAGCCAUGCACCACCUGUGAAGGUGCCCCGAAGGGAGACCGUGUUUCCACGGCUGUCACCUACAUGUCAAGCCCAGGUAAGGUUCUUCGCGUUGCGUCGAAUUGAACCACAUGCUCCGCUGCUUGUGCGGGUCCCCGUCAAUUCCUUUGAGUUUUAGCCUUGCGGCCGUACUCCCCAGGCGGGGCACUUAAUGCGUUAGCUGCGGCACGGAAGGAGUCGACACCUCCCACACCUAGCACCCAACGUUUACGGCUAGGACUAC